CCCAGGCUUUUAUUACCUUCUUCUGGUUCUCAUUGUCUACCCUCAGCCAAUCACGCUGUCGAACUGAAAAUUCUAAACCUGCCGCUAACCAACCAGAAUGUGCCUUGCUUUCUGUCCUUUUGCAUACGGAGUGUUCUAUCUCCAACGCCGCCUCAGUUGUCAGUUGAGCUUCCUCAGCGGCAGUUAAACCGAAUUUUACUCGGUUUCCCCCAUCAAACACAUGACAAUACAAAUGACAGAAUACGUGGCAAUGCCCAUUAACCGUUUCAGCUAAACAGGGUUUCUUCACAAAUACCACUAUGUAUGAAAACUGGGAUGGACCGUAGUUAGCUCAAUGGGGAUAAAGAAAAGCGAAUGAAGCUGUGGAAAUUCUGAAUUGUCUGUGAUCAGCAUGGAGACCAGAAAACAGAAGCUCAAUCCAGACCAGGUCAUUAACAAAACACCUGGAAGAAGACUGUCCCACUUCUUAAUCAGAAUUGGAGUCCUCCACCACAGCAGUUUGUAAAAGCAAAAAAAAAGAGAGACACUUGGUGAUGCAGUUGGGCUCUCCUGGUAUGGAAGAUGACAACUGGAGGAAGACUUUGGACUACAUCAAUCAAAGCAAGCAAGCACAUGUAAAAUCAAUAUGCCAACAGAGAUUUGCAAUUAGCAAUAAGCUGCUAGAGUGAAGAUCAUUUGUUGUCUUGCACAUUUGUUCGAUUGCAAACAGGCAGAAUACUGAAAAAUCCAGAAUUAACUUAAAACAUGCAAUGCUCAUUGAAGUUGAUGGGUUUCUGCAUGCAAAAGCCUUUUUGCAUUGGUAAAGAAUUUAUAGCUCAGCCACCAGGGGUAGCCAACAUUACCUUACUAAUACGGUCAACCUGAGCAAGAGAUAAAUGACAUCUUGCCAGCAGAAAUUAACUCUACUGAGGGUUAAGCUCCCUCGCUUCUCAUUGCCUCAUAUGCCCUAAAGGUAUAUAUAUAUUUGACUCAAGAUGAAGUAUUAUUAAAUAUCAAACUUAAAAGCUUGCCGAAUAACAACAAAAUAAUUGAUCUUUCAAUCCAGUAACGAAAAACAAUUCCAGUUACUACAAAUUAACACCCAUAAUACAUCACAACUUCCCAGAACAUUCAAAAUCUUCUUUCUUAAGGAAUUAAUAUUUUCCGCAAGCUAGUUUUCAGAUGGAAUUCUAUAAUCAGUUAUAUAGCAGAAACCUAAACUGGUUUCAGUGGGAGUAAGUGAACAGAGCAGAAUGCAAGGCUUUCAUUUAUAGCCUUUGCAAAAUUAAGCAAGAUCAUAGGGAUAUAAAAAACACAUUAAGCAGACCCUAACUCUACUUACCUGGGAGUAAAUUGAAUUCAAUGCAACUUGCUCCCGAGCACACAUGCUUACAAAUGCACUUUGAGGCUACAAAGCCAAUACACAUUCACCUGGGAGUAAGCCUCAUUGAACUUAUUUGGUCUUAUUCCUAAGUGGACAUGCAUAGGACUGCACGAUCACAAAGAGUUUUUCAGAGUAUUCCAAAAUUAGAAAAUUACAACAGGAUUUAAUGGGGGGGGGGGAAGGAUGGGCAAUAUAACUACAGAUUCUCUCCCAAAAUAGGUACUUUCCAGAUUUGUUGGGCUAUAAUCAGCAAGUAUUUCCCUUGCUGGAAAGAACUGACGCUAAACUAUUUUCUCCUUUAACUGACUUUGCUUUGGGAUAAAUCAUCUUAUUUCAGCAAGUAAAUUACAAAUCCAUAAGCAAUGCUCUGAGAUCUUCUGUCACAUUAAACUCAAAUGGUUACUUUCUUGCAGUUAAAAACAAUUUUCAAAGUACUGGAAAUGCUCAUCAGCAUCACAUUAAUAGGAGUCAAAUACUUCUAACUAGCAUUUCUGCUUCCGCCAGAAAAGAAAUGUGACGCAAACUAAUUUCUUUCUUAUAGCUCAGGUCUACUUCUCUGGAACAUUCCCUUUCCACUGAAUCAUGUACCCCUUGAGAGAAGAGGACUCCGUCAUUCUUAAAUUUGCUUGUAUGAGAUGCCCAGAAGAACCACAACCACUAAGUGCAAAAGGCAACUGACAUACUGAAUUAUCAACACACUAAAAUUGACAAUCUCAGGGUCCUCUUCAUGUCUCUCCUGAAAAAGAAUUGUUUAGUGCCAGUUAUACACACAAAACACACAUGUGACAGGGACCCUUCCCCUGGAAGACUUCACAUUCUACAUCAAGACUGGAACUAGACCAAGAUCUGAGAAUUUGUGAGGAACAGGCCCCAUGAGGAGGGACAUCCAGACAACUGAGGGGCAGGUGGGACAAGCCUAGGUUGGAUUUUCCCUGAUAAAAGGAGGGCGUUGACUACUCAGUCAGUUAAAGCCUUUUUGGGAUUGGCUUGCACCCAGGCAGUCUGGAGCUUGCAAAAGCACAUAUAUAUGUGUGUGCAACAGGCAUGGGUCAGUCAUACAAGCCAGAAAGCGGUUCUCAAAGACCAACAGGCAGGGCACUUCAAAGUCAUAGCAGAUUAACUGUUGUCGCGGCUUUUCUUUUUUAGUGGCAGCAGGAAGCACUGACGGGACAUUGGCAAGAACCCAUGCAAGGCAAGCUUUAUCACAAUAAUGGUUUACAGAACAUUCCCUGUGCUCCCAACACUAUAGCUUAAUUUCAAACACUGGAAGGUUCGAGCUCAAGAUGGCGCCUUAACUUGCAGAAUGUGUUGCUAAUGUAAGGACUGGACUAGUGCCUUUCAUUGCAAGAAGCAUUUGCACUGCCUGACAUGCCCAAUGGAAGCUUUUCUGUUGCUGCUGCCAAUAUUUCAUGAACACAUAUUAUGGAUAACAAUGCUGUAAACACAGACUUGCCAGCAGGCUCCACUGAUCUGAGCAGGACUUAAUACUGAGUAAAAUUACUCAGUUACUGA